rnacentral:rRNA from 1 species
UACGUAGGGGGCAAGCGUUGUCCGGAUUUAUUGGGCGUAAAGAGCGUGUAGGCGGCCAAGUAAGUCUGCUGUGAAAACUCGAGGCUUAACCUCGAGCUGUCGGCGGAAACUAUUUGGCUAGAGUCCGGAAGGGGCGAGUGGAAUUCCUGGUGUAGCGGUGAAAUGCGCAGAUAUCAGGAGGAACACCUAUGGCGAAGGCAGCGUUCUGGGAAGUAUCUGACGCUCAUGUGCGAAAGCUAGGGGAGCGAACGGG